GUGCUUGCUUUGGCAGCACAUACACUAAAAUUGGAAUGAUACAGAGAAGAUUAGCAUGGCCCCUGUGCAAGGAUGACAUGCAAAUUCGUGAAGCGUUCCAUAUUUUU
rnacentral:snRNA from 1 species